rnacentral:rRNA from 1 species
GACGAACGCUGGCGGCGUGCCUAAUACAUGCAAGUCGAGCGGACCGAACAGGAGCUUGCUCUUGUUCGGUUAGCGGCGGACGGGUGAGUAACACGUGGGUAACCUGCCCGUAAGACCGGGAUAACUCCGGGAAACCGGAGCUAAUACCGGAUAACACCGAAGACCGCAUGGUCUUUGGUUGAAAGGCGGCUUCGGCUGCCACUUACGGAUGGGCCCGCGGCGCAUUAGCUAGUUGGUGAGGUAACAGCUCACCAAGGCGACGAUGCGUAGCCGGCCUGAGAGGGUGACCGGCCACACUGGGACUGAGACACGGCCCAGACUCCUACGGGAGGCAGCAGUAGGGAAUCUUCCGCAAUGGACGAAAGUCUGACGGAGCGACGCCGCGUGAGCGAAGAAGGUCUUCGGAUCGUAAAGCUCUGUUGUUAGGGAAGAAGAAGCGUCGUUCGAACAGGGCGGCGCGGUGACGGUACCUAACGAGAAAGCCCCGGCUAACUACGUG